AUUACAAACUGCUGAAAACAUUUAAGGAUUAACAGUAAAUGAAAUAGGCAGGUUUUUUUUGUAUUUUUAAAGCCUUUAUUUAGUGUCAAACGUAUAUAUCAAAUUAAGGCAAUUACAAUUUCCAUCUGACACAUUUUCGGAUAAGUGUUAAAAGUUGCUGUAAUGUGUCAAAGAAAAUCAAACCAAGAUAAUAGAUAUAGGAGGAACUAUGGUAGUUUUUAAAGCUCAAAGAAUGGUACAAGACAAUGUCAGAAGACAAUAUUAUAC